AUGCAAGAAUAGGUUUUAGUUAGUGCAUGCAUGAAGGAGUAUAAGCAAGUGAAUGAAAGACUGAUGGUGGGUGUUCUUCAAAGUGAAGAUGCAGAGUGGUUGUUGUCAUUAUGUAUGUCCCUGUGGAUGUUUAAAAUGUGAAUUUUGGGAAAAUUUACAAGACAUCUUGGAUGAAUGCAACCCUCAGGAACAUGUGAUUAUAAGUGGAGAUAUGAUUGGAUGGGUGGAUGUGAAGAAACAGUUGUCUGAGAGAGUGCUGGGUCUAUAUGAACUUUAUAUUAUGUCACGAUUUCGAGAAUGGAGUUUGGAAUGCAAAGUUUAUGUUGGCAAUCUCGGUAGCGGAACAGCUAAACAUGAAAUAGAAGCAGCUUUCAGUAAAUUUGGGCCACUACGUAAUGUGUGGGUAGCGCGAAAUCCUCCCGGAUUCGCUUUUGUAGAAUUUGAAGAUCCUCAAGAUGCCGAAGAUGCUUGCAGAAGUCUUGAUGGAACACGGCUGUGUGGUAGUCGUGUUCGUGUGGAAAUGUCACAUGGAAGAAGUAGGAGAGGUGGAAGACGACCGCCGCCACCUCCACGCUAUGGAAAUUAUAACAAUAGACGAACAGGACAUGGCAGGCAAUCUACUCGCCAUUUUCUUCGUUCCUAUCUACCUCCUCAUGGCUGACAGCAUCGGUGUUUAAUACAACUCUUUCAGCGCAGCCAACUUUGCUGCAAAUGCAGUCCUAUCUUUGGAGAUGUACAUCAGAUUGCUGUUAAAAAUCCACAAACACAAUGACCAUACGUCCGUCCCUUCAAACCACACCCAUCAUGAGGUCCGGUCGACGCUUCACCUUUAAACUGCGAUUAUUCAACCUCUGUCUUUCAUGCAACAUACCAUAUUGUGCAUCGUAGUCGACAAAGUCACCACCGCCAAAAACUAGUUUCUUCAACGCUGAUCAGCCAAACCGCAUUAUGUAUUGUCUGUCGCCACCGUCGGCUACUUAUUCUACUUCGCUACUACUACAGCUACUGCAAACACUAAGCAGCGGCUGACAAAUAGUCGACAACAUAACUUCCACUACCCUCGUAAUACAGAUCACGGUCACCACCACCACGCCGGCGCUAUUCCAGAAGCGGAUCUCGCAGUCCUCGCAGAAGCAUAAGCCGUUCUCCCUCCAGAGAAAGAAGAUCUAGAAGCUAAAUGACUGGAAUAAAUCACCAGACUUCAGUUUAACCUUUACAAAAUAUCACAAGAGACUGUGUUUUGUGUAAAACAAAAAAAAUGUAUCACAAGUGUGGUAAUUUGGAUUAUUAAUAAAAUUUUAGUGUUGUGUUUUAAAUACUUUUUGUAAUCUUUUGUCUCCACUUUGCUAUAUA